rnacentral:rRNA from 1 species
AGAGUUUGAUCCUGGCUCAGGACGAACGCUGGCGGCGUGCCUAACACAUGCAAGUCGAACGAGUUGAGGAGCUUGCUCCUUAACUUAGUGGCGGACGGGUGAGUAACGCGUGAGUAACCUCCUCUGAGAGGGGAAUAACGUUCUGAAAAGAACGCUAAUACCGCAUGACACAUAUUUGCCCAUGACAGAUAUGUCAAAGAUUUUAUCGCUCAGAGAUGGACUCGCGUCCGAUUAGUUAGUGGUGAGGUAACGGCUCACCAAGACCGCGAUCGGUAGCCGGACUGAGAGGUUGAACGGCCAAUUGGGACUGAGACACGGCCCAGACUCCUACGGGAGGCAGCAGUGGGGGAUAUUGCGCAAGGGGGCAACCCUGACGCAGCAACGCCGCGUGAAGGAUGAAGGUUUUCGGAUUGUAAACUUUUUUCUCAGGGACGAAAUUUGACGGUACCUGAGGAAUAAGCUCCGGCUAACUACGUGCCACAGCCGCGGUAAUACGUAGGGAGCAAGCGUUGUCCGGAUUUACUGGGUGUAAAGGGUGCGAGGCGGCUUUGUAAGUCAGAUGUGAAAUCUAUGGGCUCAACCCAUAAACUGCAUUUGAAAUACAGAGCUUGAGUGAAGUAGAGGCAGGCGGAAUUCCCUGUGUAGCGGUGAAAUGCGUAGGAUAGGGAGGAACACCAGUGGCGAAGGCGGCCUGCUGGGCUUUAACUGACGCUGAGGCACAAAGCGUGGGUAGCAAACAGGAUUAGAUACCCUGGUAGUCCACGCUGUAACGAUGAUUACAGGUGUGGGGGACUGACCCCUUCCGUGCCGGAGUUAACACAAUAAGUAAUCCACCUGGGG